AGAUAAUACCAGAAGUCUUACUCAAGCGGAAACAUGUCCCAUCUUUUUUAUUGCGCAUGCGCGAGCUAAACAAGUGUAAUGCAAUGUUGACAAUAGAAAAUUAUAUUGGGAAGUUGUCAUUCCUACAGUAAAAACAGCUUUUUUUCAAGUAGUACGAAAUGUGACUUCGAUUUAUCUGUGGAACUAUUUGAACAGAAGGUAAAGCAGUAAUUUUGUUGUAUUUAGAAAGCAAACAGGGUCAUAUUUUAAAGAAAAUAGCGCACUAAAUAUAAAUUUGAGCAUCAUUAAAAUGUGUUCGCUAUGAUGCCAUUUUGUCUCCAGUAUAUACGGAGUACUGCUUUUAUACUGGUGGAUAUUCGAAUUUAUUUGGCUCAAAAACACCAUUACUUCAAUAUCCCUUUCUUGUUUUUCCUUGGAUAGGUUUUAACAAGAUAGAACUCUAGAUCACUUGGGUCCAAAAACGCUAGAUUAUAAAAUCCUGAUGUGACUUGAUACUACAAAUAGAAUAUGUCUUGUGAUGUAAUACUACAAAUAGAAUGACAAACUUCAAUGAAUUGAUAAAGUGUAAGGAUAGUGUUUAAAGUUGCUUCAUGUGUAGAAGCUGAAUUACUUUAGUUUAUACACUGUAAUGUCGAUAUCACAUGUUGAUAUGACUUUAAUACUAGCAACUUGCAAUAAGUGGUCUGUCCUGCUUGUUUAUAAUACUUUAGAGUUUGGACAUAGAACAUUGUAAUUGCCUGACAGAGACUGUUUAUAGGGCCUGUUUGUAUGGAAGCCGGGCUGGCCCGCUUAGCGAGACAGGUAGAUACGCAGGAUGAACAUAUGGUCACUUUUUAAUGAACCAAGGAAGAGUCACGCACAAAACAACAUUUAAGCAGUAUAAACAAAGAGAGAGAAGAGAAUAUUGAUUAUUGGAUGUUUAUUAAAAGUGCUAGAUUCUAUCUAAGGUAGAUACGCAGGAUGAUUUCUCUUGUGUUUAUUUGAGAAAAUUUCAUCCUGCUUACCGGGACAAUUUUGUUGUUUUGACAUUGUUUUGACAGUUGUUAAAAAUAGCUUGCGGCAGUAUCGUUGAACAUUCAUCCUGGCAACUGGGCUAGCCUGCUUGUGAUUGUUUAUAUGGAAAAAUUUCCAUCCUGGUCUCUGCAACAGGGCCUCCCGCUUGUACAUAGAAACAAUUUUAAUUAUAAUUUUUACUAUAAAAAUAAGUAGACAGUGAGAUCUCACUUACCGGGCUGUCUCACUUAGCGGGCCAGCCAGUUUCGAUAUAAACAGGCCCUUAAAAGCUGCAAGUUUCCUUAAAGCAAUAUCGUCUAUAUCACAGAAUACAGUUUCUGUAGUGACAUACUUUGUGUGUUUUCUGUCUUUAAAGUGUCUUAUGUUUGUAAUAUUUUUGUACAAUACAUUUUUGAAAUUGUUGAUACUGGUCUCAUUGUAACUCAGUUAUUCCUUCUCAAGAAAAAUAAAAAAACAAAGCUGUGUGGGUGUGUUUUUGCUCUAGUUUUUACAUCUACAUGAUUCAUGUACAAUUAAUGUACAUUUAAAUUAGCUUUGUUCAAUGAAUACAGGUGUGAUUCAAAUAUCAUUCCUAUCUGGUACUUGGAUCAAAUGGACAUAAGCAUACCAAAUCAUGCUAUGAAUUGAAAUACAAGUAUAGGGUGUGCAUUGUUUAAAUAAAUAUAUUUUCCAGUUAACCCAGUAAGCUGCAUUGUGCCCCAAUGCACCUUACUUUACUAGUUUAUUUCACUUCAUCUAAUGCCAGAUGAUUUUACUUAUCGAGGGAGAGUGCUGCUGCUCAUUGAGCUCUGAUUGAGUUCAC
rnacentral:lncRNA from 1 species